rnacentral:rRNA from 1 species
AACGAACGCUGGCGGCAGGCCUAACACAUGCAAGUCGAGCGGCAGCGGGAAAGUAGCUUGCUACUUUUGCCGGCGAGCGGCGGACGGGUGAGUAAUGCCUGGGGAUCUGCCCAGUCGAGGGGGAUAACUACUGGAAACGGUAGCUAAUACCGCAUACGCCCUACGGGGGAAAGCAGGGGACCUUCGGGCCUUGCGCGAUUGGAUGAACCCAGGUGGGAUUAGCUAGUUGGUGAGGUAAUGGCUCACCAAGGCGACGAUCCCUAGCUGGUCUGAGAGGAUGAUCAGCCACACUGGAACUGAGACACGGUCCAGACUCCUACGGGAGGCAGCAGUGGGGAAUAUUGCACAAUGGGGGAAACCCUGAUGCAGCCAUGCCGCGUGUGUGAAGAAGGCCUUCGGGUUGUAAAGCACUUUCAGCGAGGAGGAAAGGUUGGUAGCUAAUAACCGCCAGCUGUGACGUUACUCGCAGAAGAAGCACCGGCUAACUCCGUGCCAGCCGCCGCCGUAAUAC